rnacentral:rRNA from 1 species
GACAGAGGGGGCAAGCGUUGCUCGGAAUUACUGGGCGUAAAGGGCGCGUAGGCGGGACGGCAAGUCGGUCGUGAAAUCCCUCGGCUCAACUGAGGAGCGUCGAUCGAAACUGCCGUUCUUGAGGGCUGCAGAGGAGACUGGAAUUCCCGGUGUAGCGGUGAAAUGUGUAGAGAUCGGGAGGAACACCGGUGGCGAAGGCGGGUCUCUGGGCAACUCCUGACGCUGAGGCGCGAAAGCGUGGGGAGCAAACGGG